rnacentral:misc_RNA from 1 species
CACCAUACAAAAAUUAUCAAAAUAUAGACAGAGAGAAAAUAAAUACAUUUUUCUUAAUAAUCUCUCCAUUUUUGUUUAUUAAUAAAGGUUUAGUCUUAAGUUGCUUCCAUAUUGCAUUUCAUUUUGCAUGCUCAAUUCUGCCGGUCUCACUAUAGAGAGAGAAGAGAUUAGAGAAGUACCGGUUGUGAUUUGAAAUUUCAAGAAGGGUGAUCUUUUGGGCAAAGGUGGGGUUUGCUCCUUUUUGGGUUUAUAUUGAGGCUUUUGCUUGACAUUCUUGAUUGAUGGACAACUUGAACCCACACAAAAACCCCACCAUGGUAUGUUCCAUAUCUUUAACUUCAACUCCGAAAGUGUAUCAGAUGUGCAUAAGAUAAUAGAAAAGAGAGGAGAGGGUCAGAGGACUUGCACUAAGUACAUCCACACAGACACAAUACAAAUUGCAUAUUGAUAUAGCAUCUUCGUAGUACCCUUUUGACGUCAGGAUAUCUUUACAAUGUCAGACAAGGAAAUAGCUGCUGCUAAUAUAGCAUUAUAUAGGCCUGCGAACUAUGCUUUAAGAGGGAGAAAAAAGAUACAUUUUUAGCAUCUGGGUGUUUAUUGCAAAAGUCUAAAAGGUGUCAUCUCUUUUGUUUGUGUGUGUCUGUUUGAAAGACCUGAAACUUGCUUUGAUGGGCUUCGUUUGCAGUUACAUCUAUAGGGCUCUGGAGGAAUUCAUGGCUAUGACAGUUUUAAUAUGACAUUUGCUUUUCUUGGGCAUUGAAUUUUUCCAUUGUUACGGGGCGUUAAUGCAUAAACUGAGGUUGUUGAUAAAUAUCAAAAUUUUUAUGAUACAUUGUUAGCAAUUUAGUACUGUUCUCAACUGCAAUCUGAACUAUGAUUUUAAUAGCUACCUUUUGGUUUGUUCAUUAAAUUUUACUCUGUUUUUUAUGUAUGGGUUUGUCACUGUCUAUUUGAUAUUUGGCCUUUCUUUAACUCCUGUAUUUCUUGUCGUUGUCUCUGAUGAGCUCCCUUGUCUCUUGCUUUUUCCAUGCAGUUAGUUCUCUCUGCAAUUUUCUAUUGUCUGUUGAUUCUGAACUCUUUCUUAUUUUCCUUUUUUCUUGAUCUGUUGAUUCUUGAUUUGUUUCUUUCCUUCUGUAUUUUUCUGCACUGCAGUGAAAAAGAGCUAUUUGUACGAAGGUUUUGAUGGUUUAAGGGUCGGCAAUGGCAUCAACUUCUUGUGACAAGCAGAGUCCGGUGCCUAUGAAAGAACCAGUGAUGAGCUAUCUCCAGUACCCAGCACCUCUUGCAAGAUAUGAGGAUGUUGUUGCCAGUCCUAAGCUUUUCAUGGCUACUUUAGAGAAGCUCCAUGCUUCUAUGGGAACCAAGUUCAUGAUCCCCAUUAUAGGGGGAAGGGAGUUGGACUUGCAUCGGCUCUUUAUGGAGGUAACUUCUCGUGGUGGUCUUGAGAAGGUAACACGAAAACAUUCACUGGUUGAUUUUCUACUUGCUCCAUUUUGAUUAUAAGUUUUCUGAGAUGCUUCUUGCCUUGGUAAAUGUACCAUUCUUGCAGAGAGGAAUUUAAUAUUGUAACAUUAAAAUGCCUACUGCGGACAUCAUUUGUAAUCUUUUACUUAAAAUUGAUGUGGAGCUCUAGUGAGGAUCUUGUUGAACUUUCCCAAAAGUUUUCUAGAAACUGAAAUCUGUUGUUUUUUAUUGUCUAAAAGAGCUUAUAUGCUAACCUCUCUUUUGAUACUUCCUAGUGUCAUUACCGUGUAUGGAAAAUUCUCUGGAAUUCUAAAGUUCUCUGUUUCUUUAACAGGGUUAAUUUGAUAAUUGCCAGAAUGAUACAUUUCCUCCCAGAUUUGUUUUCAUGUGCCCACCAAACAUUCCUGUCUUUCCCGACUUUUUUCUUUCAACGAUCCACUACUGAAAUUUAUUAAAUAUGAAGUAUGCCUACUCUUGAUAGAAUUGUGCUUGAUCUGCUCGAUCCCUCAUUGAUCGACUAUUUUCUACUUUUGGGCCUUCAGCUCUAUCGCUUACAGGUGUCACUUUUAUUCUUCAUAAUUUACCUUCUGCAGGAUGCAACCAUGAUUAAGAUGUAAUUGAAACAUGGUUGCUCAUAUCUCAAGAGUUUCUUUAUAUUGCAACUCCGAUCGUGUGAUCAAAUUUAUAUCAUUUUCAGACUCUAUUCCAAGAAAGUGGUAAUUGACUUUUUCUCUUGUAUAUCAGAGCGUUGUAAACAAAUUGGACAAACAAAGAAUUCUAGUUUAAAAACUUUAGGGUAAUAGGAAUUCCUGACUAUGAGAAAGACAAAGCAAUUUUCAUCAGGCAGCUAAAUUUCACUUGCAAGGUUCAAUUUAAUAAUCUAGAUAUGAAAGUUAAAUUUUCUUCUUCAAUUUUAUUGAUGAUCCGGUUGGAUGUAUAAUGUCAUAUAAGCAUAUGUUUUAGCAUGAAAGGAAGUACUGCUAGACCAAGAGGUCAAUAGUUCCCAUGUAGAUGAUUCUAGUUUUGCUGCAUCAUGUAGCUUACAUUUUAAAGCAAAAGCUACUUGAUAAACAAGUUUAAUAAUGAUUAGUUGCAGUCAUGUGAUUACUAUUAUUUACUUGGAGAUGCAGAUUAUUAGAGAGAAAAGAUGGAAGGAGGUUACAGCCGUUUUCAACUUUCCUUCUACUGCUACAAAUGCAUCCUUUGUGCUGCGCAAGUACUAUGGUUCCUUGCUUCACCACUAUGAGCAACUUUACUUUUUUAAAGCUCAGGGCUGGGCUCCUGGCUCAUCUGGUGUGUGCAUUGAACACUCAGCCUUAAUUUUUCACGUUCAUGGAUGUCAUAUUUUAGUAGAUUGCAUCUUUUUGUAGUUCCCUUGCACAGCUCAUUCGCAUCACGGGUUCCAGCACAAGUGACUGUGCAACCAUCACCUGAGUAUCAAGCAGCUACAGCCCAGCCACAAAUGACAAACACUGCAGGGUUGUUUGGAGGUCUCUUUUGUUGUCUCAACUUGAGCUUUAUAUCAUGUUUGCUCUAUUGAUUGACUAAAAGUGGGAGAAGAAACAAAUUUGUUUGGUAGAACUUGUAUCCAUCAUGUAGAUUUCAGAUGCAUUUCCAUAUAUUUCCACCUGCUUGUUUUGUGGCGUUUCCAUGACACAUAAUCACGAAUAUUCCCAGCCAAGUCUGCGGCUGCUUUUAAUUUUUAUUUUAGAGAGCCUUGUUUUCCCCUUUCUGAAUAUAUUUUUGUUGCAGCCAGAGCAGCAUCAUCAGGAACUUCUCAAGUUAUUGGGGUAAUUGAUGGGAAAUUUGAGAGUGGAUAUCUUGUUACUGUAACAAUAGGGACGGAGAAGCUCAAAGGUGUUAUUUAUCAAGCACCACAAAACCAAUCAUGCCAAGUACCACAGCAUUAUAAUGUCUCUGCCAACAACAUUGGUAAUGCCCAUGCUGCAUCAGGCACACAACGGCGGCGGCGCAGAAAGAAAAAUGAGAUAAAAAAGAGGGAUCCUGCUCAUCCAAAGCCAAACAGAAGCGGAUAUAAUUUCUUCUUUGCUGAGCAGCAUGCAAGACUGAAGCCUCUUUACCCAGGGAAGGACAGAGAGAUCAGUAGGAUGAUUGGUGAACUAUGGAACAAGUUGAAGGAAUCUGAGAAAGCAGUUUAUCAGGAGAAAGCUAUUGAAGAUAAAGAAAGAUACAGAAUAGAAAUGGAGAAUUACAGGGAAAGAUUGAAAACAGGGCCAGUUAUUAGUGAUGCAGUUCCACUACAGCAAUGGCUACCUGAGCAGGAUAUAGAUAUGGUGGAUGCUGAUAUGAAGCCUGAUGAAACUGAUGGGGUGGACUCUCCUCAAACUAUGAAUAAUAAUAGUAGUUCGGGUGAAAGUGAUUCUGAAGAUGAAGAUAAAACAGCCGAAAAGGAUUUGGAUAGGGGAGCAUCUCUAGGGAUGCAAUUUAAUGUUCGCGUUGGUCAUGUAGGUAUGGACACUUCAGCUGACGCAGCUGCUUUUGAGCCAUCUAGUAUGGAAGGAAAUAUUGGAGAUCAGAGGGUAGAGAUGGUUGGCAAUGUGGGUGAUGAAAACUUGGAGAAUAUGGUAGUUGAAACUUGAAACAGGCACAGAAAAAUUAUAUGGCGAGGAACAAUGAUGCUCUCCACGAAUUUGGAUUUACUCUUUAUGUUCAUUACAGUGUUGUUAAAUUGUGGCUGCAACUUCAUAUGGUAUUUUUUUUUGAUAUUUCAUCUCUUCGUCUAGAACUUCCAUUUUAUUAUUUUCUAGUCUGUCAUGCUGUGAAAAAUAGCUUUAGCUGAUGUAGGGAGGUGCAGAAGUUUUUGCUGACUUCUGACAGUUUUGUAGAAAGGAGGAAAUUUUGAUGCAUUUGUUGAACUAACACUGUGGUUGCUUCUCAGCCAAUGCUUUAAAUAUAAUUCCUAAAUUAAUGGCUGGUGUGAAUGCUAUUUUCUUUGUAUUGCUGGUGAAAUAUAAGACUGAUUCUGAGAUUCUACGGCUGCAGCUGGCAAAUUAUUAUGUAACUUGGAAGGCUGUUUUGUUCUUAUUUUAAUUUGAUUAUUGAAAUUAUGGCAAAAAAU